GGGGUAACGGCCUACCAAGGCGACGACGGGUAGCCGGCCUGAGAGGGCGACCGGCCACACUGGGACUGAGACACGGCCCAGACUCCUACGGGAGGCAGCAGUGGGGAAUAUUGCGCAAUGGGCGAAAGCCUGACGCAGCGACGCCGCGUGGGGGAUGACGGCCUUCGGGUUGUAAACCUCUUUCAGCAGGGACGAAGCGCAAGUGACGGUACCUGCAGAAGAAGCACCGGCCAACUACGUGCCAGCAGCCGCGGUAAUACGUAGGGUGCAAGCGUUGUCCGGAAUUAUUGGGCGUAAAGAGCUCGUAGGCGGUUUGUUGCGUCGGCUGUGAAAUCCCGAGGCUCAACCUCGGGUCUGCAGUCGAUACGAGCAAACUAGAGUGUUGCAGGGGAGACUGGAAUUCCUGGUGUAGCGGUGAAAUGCGCAGAUAUCAGGAGGAACACCGGUGGCGAAGGCGGGUCUCUGGGCAACAACUGACGCUGAGGAGCGAAAGCGUGGGGAGCGAACAGGAUUAGAUACCCUGGUAGUCCACGCCGUAAACGUUGGGCG
rnacentral:rRNA from 1 species